rnacentral:rRNA from 1 species
UACGGGGGGAGCAAGCGCUGUUCGGAUUUACUGGGCGUAAAGGGCGCGUAGGCGGCCACCGCAAGUCGACUGUGAAAUCUCCGGGCUUAACCCGGAAAGGUCAGCCGAUACUGCGGGGCUAGAGUGCAGAAGGGGCAACUGGAAUUCUCGGUGUAGCGGUGAAAUGCGUAGAUAUCGAGAGGAACACCUGCGGCGAAGGCGGGUUGCUGGGCUGACACUGACGCUGAUGCGCGAAAGCUAGGGGAGCGAACGGG